GUUAGCGGUGUUAACCUCUUCCUUUCUAAAGCAACAAAAUAAGAGAAGUUGGAAGCAUUUAUGAUGCAUGAAGAACCUUGUUGAAGACGUGGAAGUCUCCAGCAUAAUGUCUGUUCCAUGGGGCUCUCCCACCUCGCACCCCAUCAGCUGGCAUGAACGUGGGACUGCUCCUCCAAUGUGCCUGAGGGGAUGGAGUGCUGCCAGUAAUAAAGGAGCAGGAGCAUGGACGUGACCAUGGACAUGCCAGGACCCUAAAGCAAAAGGCUUCUGCGAGAACAAUAGUGCUCCGGAGGUCCUGUGGAAUCCUUCUCCUCUACAAGGUGUCGGGUUUUGAUUAAGCAUCAUUUCAUGCAGUUCAUUAACAAUGUAUCUUAAAAUGAGCUUUUGAUUGAACAUUUUUA